rnacentral:rRNA from 1 species
UACGGGGGGGGCAAGCGUUGUUCGGAAUUACUGGGCGUAAAGGGCUCGUAGGCGGCCCACUAAGUCCGACGUGAAAUCCCCAGGCUUAACUUGGGAACUGCGUCGGAUACUGGUGGGCUUGAAUCCGGGAGAGGGAUGCGGAAUUCCAGGUGUAGCGGUGAAAUGCGUAGAUAUCGGGAAGAACACCCGUGGCGAAGGCGGCACUCUGGGACGGUACUGACGCUGAGACGCGAAAGCGUGGGGAGCGAACAGG